AUUGAACGCUGGCGGCAUGCCUUACACAUGCAAGUCGAACGGCAGCGGGCCCUUCGGGGUGCCGGCGAGUGGCGAACGGGUGAGUAAUGCAUCGGAACGUACCCGGGAGAGGGGGAUAACCGGCCGAAAGGCUGGCUAAUACCGCAUGAACUCGGAAGAGCAAAGCGGGGGACCUUCGGGCAUCGAGCUCUCGGAGCGGCCGAUGUCCGAUUAGGCUAGUUGGUGGGGUAAAGGCUCACCAAGGCGACGACCGGUAGCCGGCCUGAGAGGACGAUCCGCCACACUGGAACUGAGACACGGCCCAGACUCCUACGGGAGGCAGCAGUGGGGAAUCUUGGACAAUGGGCGCAAGCCUGAUCCAGCAAUGCCGCGUGGGUGAAGAAGGCCUUCGGGUUGUAAAGCCCUUUCGGCGGGGAAGAAAUCGGUCAGGCGAAUAGACUGGCCGGAUGACGGUACCCGCAGAAGAAGCACCGGCUAACUACGUG
rnacentral:rRNA from 1 species